AGUAAAACAGUAAAAUUCAAAAACAGAAACAACAACAGAAAUUCAGCAUCAGAAUAUAGAAAAUUAAAUUAAAAUGAAUGAUUGAAAAUGAAACAGUCAAUUGUUAAAGAUAAACAACAGUAAAAAUUAAAUUGCAAGAAAAUUUAGAAUUGCAAAUGGUUUAAAGAAAACUAACCUCUUGGUCGUGACAGCAGUAGCUCAACUGUGUGUUUUCAUCAUGAACCGUGAACCACCUCUUUGUCCAAAAACAAUAUCACUUUCUUACUUCAAUCAACAAAUAAACAUGUCCAUGUACUUCUUGAAAAUUUAUACCUCUUGGUCACGUAAUCACAAAGCUAACUAGGAAUUUUCCUUUCACAAAAAGUGGAAUGCUUUUACCAAAAUAGCACAUGGUCAUGGUCAAAUUGAAUAAAAUAAGCCAAAGACAUUGUUUAAAGCAAAAUGAGAAAAACGUUACAGCAAGCUAACGUUCCAGCCCUUGCACCACAUAUUCCAAAAGUUAAGAAAAAUUGUCAAGAGAAAAUGAUGGCUAGAAUUAAUGAAAAAGCAAAAGGAANN
rnacentral:lncRNA from 1 species